GCCGCUCAGCUGGGGGCCGGGGCGAGGCAGAGAACGGCAAAGAAGGGACUGCGAAGGAGGGCGCCCCCGGGGGCACCCCGCAGGCGGGGGGAGAGGCGCAGCCGGCCAGGGCGGAGAAUGAGAAGGACGCCACCACCGAGAAGAACAAGAAGAGAGGCUUCUUAUUCAAGGCCAAGAAGGUCGCCAUGAUGACCCAGCCACCGGCCACCCCCACGCUGCCCCGACUCCCUCACGACGUGGUGCCUGCAGACAACCGCGAUGACCCCGAGAUCAUCCUCAACACCACCACGGUGGAACCCAACACAAAGCUAUUU
rnacentral:lncRNA from 1 species